rnacentral:lncRNA from 1 species
UUUAGUCCAAUCUGAAAUACAGAGAGGACAAUUGUCCUUUGAGUUUAAUAGAGCUGUCUCUCUUUGAUAUUCACAGGGCUGGAGCAGCUCUAUGCAUUUGUUCUUGUUUUUGUCUUGACUUAAGGCUGUUUGAGAGAUGCUCAUGUCAGAGAGAGAAGAGCCAUGGCUGAUGUCUGUUGGACUUGAUGGUUUUAGAGUUCUUUUCCAACCCAAAUGAUCCCAUGAUUCAACUGUAUUUAUUGCCAGCGUUAGACAAGGGGUAACAGAAUUAGGAUUUAAAAAGUAAUCAUAAGAUACCUGGGGAAGCAGCAAAGCUAUGGACAUGGGGGAACUCAUCUUCACACCCACCUAUAAAUUCCUGCUCAUGUUCUCAGGUCGUGUACCUGCUGGGAAGUGGGAAAGUGAAGGUGCCUCUAGCAAUGGUAGGACAGAGCAGUGAGGUUUGGGACUUCUCCCCUCUGCAGGGCUUAGCAGCACGAUCACAGGGAACCUGUGAGACUGGCUUGCAAAUGCCCCAGCUGUCCUCCAUCUCUCACACCUGCACACAUUUAUCCCAUAAUUCUUCACUUCGUUUGCUGCUGCUGCUGCCGGUGGUGGGAGAGAAAUUCCGACCAGCAUCUCUGGGGUCGUCCUUUAUCGUCAGAGGAAAACGGUUCGACAAAGAUAAGCAGGAAAAUAACUUCUCGCUGACAUACGGACUGAGACCUAAAAUCUGUGUUACCGUGGUUGGAGGCCCAAGGUUGGCUACGUUUUGGUACCAAGUCCUUCUAUCAUCGAUGUCCACAUAUUAA